CUCUGUCAGCAACUAAGGGAGAAGGAGCUUUUGUUGUAGAAGCUACUUGGAGAUGCUUGAUUGUCUGUUCUGAUGCUGAGGAACUGUGCAGUAGGGGCAGGGUCCUGCACUUGCACUUAUUUCUUCAUUCUGUGCUGCAGAAAGAGUCCAUUCUUCAAGGAACCAAUUAUAUGAUAAUUGGAGGGUGCUAGAUCCAGGCUGUACAGAGGAUGGGGCAGCACAGUUCAGCCAGAUGAUGAGAUUGCCUCUCUGAUUCACAAGCUGAUGUGUGGGGGUCACCAUUUGUCAGCAGUGUUAUAGCAAUGAAGUUUGGUGCCCAGGGCAAAGCCCGCAACAGCAGUCUGCCUUCGCCCCACACACAGAUCCAGGGGGCACAUCCUCCCAUGCUUUCCCAGGAGUGGAUGGAGCAGGACCCGCCUUUCCUCCAUCCCUGUGCCCCUCCAAAAGGAGCCAGUUUCAGCUCCAUCCAGUGCCUUGCCCCAGUGCCCGGAGCGGUCUCCCUCCUCACCCCCACCUAAGGCACUGUAUACCAGUCAUAAUGGAAGUCCACAAUAGACUGUGCCUUCAUUAUAAAGUCAAUGUUUAUUUAUUAAAUAAUAACUCUGAUACUGUUUAUUUUUUAUAAGUUUUAUACAUAUAAUUGAAAAAAAUAAAAGGAUAAAUAUAAAACCA